rnacentral:rRNA from 1 species
GACGAACGCUGGCGGCGUGCCUAAUACAUGCAAGUAGAACGCACAGUUUAUACCGUAGCUUGCUACACCAUAAACUGUGAGUUGCGAACGGGUGAGUAACGCGUAGGUAACCUGCCUGGUAGCGGGGGAUAACUAUUGGAAACGAUGGCUAAUACCGCAUAAUAUUAAUUAUUGCAUGAUAAUUGAUUGAAAGAUGCAAUUGCAUCACUACCAGAUGGACCUGCGUUGUAUUAGCUAGUAGGUGAGGUAACGGCUCACCUAGGCGACGAUACAUAGCCGACCUGAGAGGGUGAUCGGCCACACUGGGACUGAGACACGGCCCAGACUCCUACGGGAGGCAGCAGUAGGGAAUCUUCGGCAAUGGACGAAAGUCUGACCGAGCAACGCCGCGUGAGUGAAGAAGGGUUUCGGAUCGUAAAGCUCUGUUGUAAGAGAAGAACGGGUGUGAGAGUGGAAAGUUCACACUGUGACGGUAGCUUACCAGAAAGGGACGGCUAACUACGUG